rnacentral:rRNA from 1 species
CCNCCGCGGUAAUACGUAGGUGGCAAGCGUUAUCCGGAAUUAUUGGGCGUAAAGCGCGCGCAGGUGGUUUCUUAAGUCUGAUGUGAAAGCCCACGGCUCAACCGUGGAGGGUCAUUGGAAACUGGGGAACUUGAGUGCAGAAGAGGAAAGUGGAAUUCCAAGUGUAGCGGUGAAAUGCGUAGAGAUUUGGAGGAACACCAGUGGCGAAGGCGACUUUCUGGUCUGUAACUGACACUGAGGCGCGAAAGCGUGGGGAGCAAACAGGAUUAGAUACCCUGGUAGUCCACGCCGUAAACGAUGAGUGCUAAGUGUUAGAGGGUUUCCGCCCUUUAGUGCUGCAGCUAACGCAUUAAGCACUCCGCCUGGGG